AUUGAACGCUGGCGGCAUGCCUUACACAUGCAAGUCGAACGGCAGCGCGGACUUCGGUCUGGCGGCGAGUGGCGAACGGGUGAGUAAUACAUCGGAACGUACCCUGUUGUGGGGGAUAACUAGUCGAAAGAUUAGCUAAUACCGCAUACGACCUGAGGGUGAAAGUGGGGGACCGCAAGGCCUGACGCAGCAGGAGCGGCCGAUGUCUGAUUAGCUAGUUGGUGGGGUAAAGGCCCACCAAGGCGACGAUCAGUAGCUAGUCUGAGAGGACGAUCAGCCACACUGGGACUGAGACACGGCCCAGACUCCUACGGGAGGCAGCAGUGGGGAAUUUUGGACAAUGGGGGCAACCCUGAUCCAGCAAUGCCGCGUGUGUGAAGAAGGCCUUCGGGUUGUAAAGCACUUUUGUCCGGAAAGAAAUCGCGCUGGUUAAUACCUGGCGUGGAUGACGGUACCGGAAGAAUAAGCACCGGCUAACUACGUG
rnacentral:rRNA from 1 species